rnacentral:rRNA from 1 species
CUUGACUGUAUCUCGGAAUUGGGUUCGGGCUUUUCUUGCGCAGACUAGGUGGGAGGCUAUGAAGAUUUUCUUCCGGGGAAGUUGGAGCCAACAGUGAGAGACCACUCUGGAAAGGCUAGAAUCCUAAUGGUGAUCCUUGAAUCAGGACACUUGACAGUUUCAGGUGGGCAGUUUUUCUGGGGCGGAAGCCUCAUAAAGGGUAACUGAGGCGCGCAAAGGUCCCCUCAGUCUGGACGGAAAUCAGACAACGAGUGUAAAGGCAAAAGGGGGCUUGACUGCAAGACCUACAAGUCGAGCAGGAGCGAAAGCUGGCCUUAGUGAUCCGACGGUACCGUGUGGAAGGGCCGUCGCUCAACGAAUAAAAGUUA